rnacentral:rRNA from 1 species
GACGGGGGAUGCGAGCGUUCUCCGGAAUGAUUGGGCGUAAAGGGUCCGCAGGUGGCCCGGUCAGUCCGCUGUCAAAGCCUGGGGCUCAACCCUGGAGAGGCGGCGGAGACCACCGGGCUUGAGUCCGGUAGGGGCAGAGGGAAUUCCCGGUGGAGCGGUGAAGUGCGUAGAGAUCGGGAAGAACGCCAAGGGCGAAGGCACUCUGCUAGGCCUGAUUUCGCGACUGACACUCAGGGACGAGAGCCAGGGGAGCGAAUGGG